GGGAACUGGCUGGCACACAGUGGAUCGCUUUCUUAGCUGCUUCCUGGUAAUUCCUGGGAAAUAUGUCUUCACACCUAGAAGUCAGACCAUCCUGGGUUGCUGAGAUGCAGGUGCUCGCCCAGCAGCUUCACAGUGUCCAUCUUAGACUUUUUCUGGAAAAACAAACAAACAAACAAAAAACAGUGUUGACCAUAAACCUCCGUUGUAUUUGCUUUUAUUUGUAGCACACAUAUGUAUAGCACUUAAAACAUGAUGCUAGAAAUAAACAUCUGUAUUAGAAACUUCUAAA
rnacentral:lncRNA from 1 species